rnacentral:rRNA from 1 species
AAUAGAUACCCUGGUAGUCCACCCCGUAAACGUUGGGAACUAGUUGUGGGGUCCAUUCCACGGAUUCCGUGACGCAGCUAACGCAUUAAGUUCCCCGCCUGGGGAGUACGGCCGCAAGGCUAAAACUCAAAGGAAUUGACGGGGACCCGCACAAGCGGCGGAGCAUGCGGAUUAAUUCGAUGCAACGCGAAGAACCUUACCAAGGCUUGACAUAUACGAGAACGGGCCAGAAAUGGUCAACUCUUUGGACACUCGUAAACAGGUGGUGCAUGGUUGUCGUCAGCUCGUGUCGUGAGAUGUUGGGUUAAGUCCCGCAACGAGCGCAACCCUCGUUCUAUGUUGCCAGCACGUAAUGGUGGGAACUCAUGGGAUACUGCCGGGGUCAACUCGGAGGAAGGUGGGGAUGACGUCAAAUCAUCAUGCCCCUUAUGUCUUGGGCUUCACGCAUGCUACAAUGGCCGGUACAAAGGGCUGCAAUACCGCGAGGUGGAGCGAAUCCCAAAAAGCCGGUCCCAGUUCGGAUUGAGGUCUGCAACUCGA